CCUGCUGAUCCCACUACAUGGUCGCCUCGCUUCUCCCUUUUUCUGCCCGACGCCGACGACCCGGCUGCGCCCUCAAAUUCCCCUCCCUCGAUCCCUCUCCAACUCAAUUGAGCACUCCAUAGCAUUCGCCACACCCUUGCGAACCCAGUGCACCCCCGAGCUCACUCCCUAACCCGCCCAAUCGCCGGCACUCCUUCUUCUCCCCCAACUCCGGCAGAAACCUCCGCCGUAGAACUCCCUCCAUGGCCGCGCUGUUCCAGUAAGUGGCACACCUUGCUUGUGGUCGUUUCCGGUU
rnacentral:lncRNA from 1 species